CGAGGCCGCGCGGAGCCGGGCAGCGCGGCGGGGCGGGGAUGGUUCCGCGGAGCCCUCAGGGCGGCCCGGCCCCGCUCCGGCCCCGCUCCGGCCCUCAGCCCCGCUGAGGGAGCCUUGGCCCUGCGCCCGGACGUGUGGAGAGCUGCUCUGCGCGUCUUGGCUGCCCUGGAAUCAUCCAGAGGGAAAUACAAGGAAAUUUGGUCAAAGAGCAGUGGCACAAAGAGGUUUGCCAAUUCACUGCCCGUCAAACUAGGCCCAUUUUUUUGUGUAAACCUUUAAUAACUUACUUCAUUACUCUGUGCCAUUAUUCUAAUACACUGUAGAUUUGCAAGGCAUUCUUUAAAGCUCCCCCAUUCCUAUGAGCACCCAGUAUUUGUAAUACUCGUCCCUUCCUUGAAAUGCUUUGAGAUUGUGGUUGAAGUCAGUUACAUAAAAGUUAAUGGUUAUAAAUUUAGACAGAGUUCUCAUUCUAUAAAGGUCAACACCUGAAUUCUUCCUGUAUGGCUUUWUCCGAAGACUAUCAUGUGGGAGUACCCACAUGCCAGAAAGCAAGGUAGCAUUUGUACAAAGGGGCAUUGUUUUUCAGGUUAGAUAAAAAGUGGAAGGAUGAUGCUGUAAUAAUUUACAGUGUGUAUUAUGAAAUUUCUGUUUCAYAAAAUAUCAAUCCGUAUAUUAUCUUUCCUAUUAGUUCUGCAUACAAAGUCGUUCUAGAUCUAGUAGAUCAGAGUAGUUUUAGAUACUUCUGAUGAGUUAAAAAAAAGCAAGUAGGUAUUUUAACAGUUCUAAAUAAACAUCUACCUUAACUCCUCCUCUCAAAUGGCUUUUGUUUGUUUUAAGGUGUUUUGAAAAGCACCUACGUGUACCAGGGUGUUUUACUUCUGAAACCCGGAUCUAACGUCCUAGUUGAGUAUGCAACCAURGCAGUCACCACUAGAAAUAAAACCUGCUUACCUAGGACUAGUUAUAACUCUGGAAAGGCUGACUGAUGAUCAAGACAAAAACUUUGRUAGUCUUCCACAAGUAAUAAAAUUGUGCCUUACAUGCCUUUCCAACAAUGCUGAUGCAAUGGCUAGYAAAUAUGACUCAGUGGAGAAGGAGAAAAAUGGAACUGGAAAUGUAUAYUCUUUCUCUUCAACUGCUUAGUUAUUAAUUUUCCAAAGAAAGGAGUUCAUCCUGCAGUUUAGACAUUAGGACUUGCCUCUUUUUAAGGUGAUUUUAUGAAAAUGUUUCACAAGGCACUCAGAAGAAACAUAAACAAUCUUCCAGGUUAAAAAGUUGCCAUAAGUGCACGUGGUGGAAGAUGGAAACAAGCACGGUGAGCUCAAGGUCUCCCGGAAGCCCGGCUGUCUCGGCCCCGAGAAAUUCCCUGCCGGACAGCGCAGCAGCGGACAGAGCAGCGCAGCCACCGGCGGGGCGCGGGCAGCCCCGGUACCCGCGGGCACAGGCGCAGCACGGAGGAGCUGAGCGCUGCCGGGGACGAGAGAAGGCAAAAGUGUCCUCGGUGGUCGGGAUGCCUUUUUUCCCGAACGGAUUUGGGAUCGCGAUGCAGAUGACCGACCUUUAGMGGAAAUCUGAAAGCCGAGCAGUGCAGAGAACACAAACACACGCACACACGCGCGAGAAGGAGCCGUCAAGGCUGCGAAGCGACAGAAAGCUGUGGGAUGGCUAGAACCGAGCCCCACUGCGGCCGGCGGGCUGCCCCGGGGGCGGGGGAGCGGCGGAGCUCAGCCCGCCCCCGCUCUCUGCCCCUUGACGUGGCGCGGACUCUCCCAUCAGCCAUGUUGAUGCGUCGGCAGCGCCGGGGCGGCUGCGAGCAGGCGGGAGGGGAGAGUGAGCGCAGCGGGAUCGGCGGCGGCGGCGGCCGGGACCCGGGUGAGCGGGCAGAGCAGGGCU